rnacentral:lncRNA from 1 species
GCUCCUGGUUAGGAAUGUGAUAUGUGUAAGAGCAUUGCCAGCUGGAGGAGCCUGAAUUAUUUACUGCAAUUCCUUCCAGAGACUACAAGUGGAUUGAUGACUGUGCAUGAAGUCCGGAGUUGGAAGGGCAGCUGGAGAAUCUCAAGGCCUGCCAGAGACUGGGUCUCUCUCUGUGGCUCAGGCUGGAGUGCAGUGGAAAGAUCAUAACUCAUUGCAAUCUUGAACUGCUCUGCUCAAGUGAUCCUUCAUCCUCAUCCUCCCCAGUAGCUGGGAUAUAGGCAUGCACCACCAUGCCUAGUAAAUUUCUUUAAUUUAUUAUUAUUAUUUAGAGAUAGGGUCUCACUGUGUUGCCCAGGCUGGUCUCAAACUCCUAGUCUCAAGUGAUCUUCUUGCCUCAUUUCCCCAAAGCAGCACUGUGAUUACAGGCAUGAACAACAAUACCUAACCUUUGCUUUCCUUCUUUCAUAAAUUGGCAAUAAACAGGCAUUUCCAAGUUUUCAAUUUGUGGUAUUAUCUUUCUGAUCCAUUUGCAAGACCUUGUUAUGUGUUAGUGAUACAAUUCAUUGAUGUACCAUACACAAUUUAUAUAUUUUUCUCAGUUUGCUUUUGUCUUUAACUUUGUGGGUUUUUUUGGACAGAUAUUUUAUAUUUUUAUAAGCCUAGAUCCAUUAGUUUUUCAUUUUUGGCUUACCUUUUAGGCUUUCCUUAACACAGAGAAAUA